rnacentral:rRNA from 1 species
GAAAUCAAUUGAUACUCCCCUAGUAGCGGCGAGCGAACGGGGACCAGCCGAGCUGUGAGUGUGAAUAGAAUGGCAUGGAAAGGCCAACCAUAGUGGGUGACAGUCCCGUAUAUGAAGCAUGAUCAGACGUAUUAAGUAGGGCGGAACACGUGAAAUUCUGUCUGAAGAUCGGAGGACCACCUUCGAAGGCUAAGUACUCCUUACUGACCGAUAGCGAACCAGUACCGUGAGGGAAAGGUGAAAAGCACCCCG